AACGAACGCUGGCGGCAUGCCUAACACAUGCAAGUCGAACGAACCCUUCGGGGUUAGUGGCGCACGGGUGCGUAACGCGUGGGAAUCUGCCCUUUGCUUCGGAAUAACAGUUAGAAAUGACUGCUAAUACCGGAUGAUGUCUUCGGACCAAAGAUUUAUCGGCAAAGGAUGAGCCCGCGUAGGAUUAGGUAGUUGGUGGGGUAAAGGCCUACCAAGCCGACGAUCCUUAGCUGGUCUGAGAGGAUGAUCAGCCACACUGGGACUGAGACACGGCCCAGACUCCUACGGGAGGCAGCAGUGGGGAAUAUUGGACAAUGGGCGCAAGCCCUGAUCCAGCAAAUGCCGCGUGAGUGAUGAAGGCCUUUCGGGUCGUA
rnacentral:rRNA from 1 species